ACGGGGGUUGCAAGCGUUGUCCGGAAUUACUAGGCGUAAAGGGCAGGUAGGCGGAUCCAUAAGUUUUUUGUUAAAGGCAACGGCUUACCCGUUGUAAGGCAGGAGAUACUGUGGAUCUGGAAUGCGGUUGGGGAAGACAGAAUUCCUGGUGUUGCGGUGGAAUGCGCAGAUAUCAUGAGGAAAACCGGCGGCGAAGGCGGUCUUCUGGAACGUAAUUGACGCUAAUGCUCGAAAGUGUGGGUAGUAAACAG
rnacentral:rRNA from 1 species